rnacentral:misc_RNA from 1 species
AACCCCCUCAAGCUCUGCUUGGUGUUGGGCGCCUGUCCCGCCUCGUGCGCGGACUCGCCUUGAAGACAUUGGCGGCGGUCGUGCCAGCUUCUCGCGCAGCACAUUGCGCUUCUCGAGGCUUUGGCGGACCAGCGUCCAGCAAGUCCACCCCCA